rnacentral:lncRNA from 1 species
CCCCCAAGAAGCUGGGCAGCUCCCGGGUCAGCAGCUCCUUUAGUUCUGACUUGUUGAGCUUGAACUUGUCACCCUCUUUGCCCGAGUACUUGUGGAAGGUGGACACCAUCACAUCCAGGGCCUUCUCCAGAGGGCACGCCAUGACAGCAGUCAGGAUCUGGGAGCAGGAGGCACAGAGACCGUCUUAUUAAUCCCACCCCUCAGAGAUGUGUUCAGAAUGCCAGGCUCCACUCCCAUCCCUCCAGGAGCACUUGGCGAGACUCUGCUCCCUCCCUGGGGGAGCCCAGAGCAGUGGGCCCCCGCACCUGGCUGGGAGGGUGUGCACAGUGGGGAACACAUGCUCUGGGCAGUGAACAUUUGCAAGAUCCGCUGCGCAAGCUCUGGAGAUUCGGGCAGCAAACUCCCAGGGCCUCCCAGGCCUUGCCUCAACAACAGCAUUUUUUCCACCCCUCACUCAGUCUAUCCACUCCCACAGCUCAGCCACAAAGGCCCCGCCCUUGCCAUUCUUUUCCCUCCCAGAACUGGGUGUGGCUGCUGGAGGCCUGCCCAGGGGCCUGCAGUGGAAAAAACCAGCACAGCCGCUUAGCUCUCAGCAUGGGGAGGGGCAAAGUGAGGUGGCAGAGGCAAGGGUUGGAAGAGAAGCUGCAGAGGCCAUGCACCUUCUCGAGCUGGGCUGCUGCGUGCAGGGCAGAGGCUCAUGGGGCACACCACCAGACAAAGGCCCACAGUUGCCUUCUGCCUUUCCUUUGCUUCCUGCUCCCGAGUGCGCAACCCAGCAAACAUGAGCCAGUGCAGAUACCCACAGGCACAUACAUACCAACACGUACUAUAGCAACAGCGUGUGCAAGCCCACAUCUCAGAAGCACCUGGAGAGCUCAAAUUCAGUCACUUGCUCACUUUUCUGUUUGUUUUUUCCUCCGUCUUACGUGCAUGUGUGUGUGUGCCAUGCACACCCACGCACACAAUCCACCCAGAGUUCCACAUCAGAAUCUCACAUCUGGAUCUCUUUAGCACAUCUGGCCCCCACCAGCCUCCCCUUCUCCUUCCCCAGCCCUGGCCUCUGACACCCCUUGCAUGCCAGUCAGGCCAACACAACUCACCAAACCAAGAAAGAAGAAGCGCUGAGGAGAGAGGGUUGUAGAGAGGGGAAGAAUGGGGACGGCCCAGAGGUCUGACCUAUUUAUACCCCAGCCAGGCCCUGCCCAUAGCAGGGGACAGGGGAGAGCGGAUACUGCCUUCCUGCUGUGGGCUGAUGCGCGCCCUGCGUAUUCCUGGAAGGUGCACACGAUGGCAGCUACCGCCUGCUCCAGAGGCCUGGCCAUCCUCACUGUCACAGAACAAGGGUGUGGCUCACAGCAGAGUUCCAGGCCAGCCCCCCAGCUCACCUCUGCCCUCUGUGUUUCUCAGAGACUGUUCCCAGACCCAUCUUAACCUCCAUCAGGCUUCAGGCCCCGCAGUCUCCCCCUCCUCUGAGUAGCCCUCCCAGACCACACCAGCCCCUCCUAAUUUAUCCCCCUGCUGUCCUGUUGUUAUUUCCCCAUGUAGAGGUCUCAUUGCCCCAACAUCGCUGUAAACUCCUCAGAGAGACAGCAUCCUACCCCACCACCCACACACCCCACCGUGGGGCUCCUUAAGCACUCUCAGAUUAUCUGCCACCUCUUCUUAUCCCCAACACCCAGGGAUGGCUCGGUCCCAGUCUGCCCCAGCCCAUGAGAUGCCCUAGAAGCCUCCCUCCCUGCAGGAACUUGCACAAGGAGAGCCUGGCCCUGUGCUUCUCUGCCCUCAGCCCUUGGAGAAGCUAGGCCUUAGCAGGGAGGGGCAGGUCUGAGAGGCGCCCCCACAGCCUCACCACCACUGCCCUCACCCUGCCUCCUGCCCUGAACUCGAGGAAGCUGCACCCAGAAGAAAAACUUGUGGGAUCCUCUCUGCCUGUCGCCAGCUGUGCAACCUUGGAAGAGAACCCAAAACCUAGAAGAGCGUGAGAGGGAAAAGAGGAAGGAGAUUGACUCCCAGGCCGGCAAAGAAGCCUUCCUGCCCGUGCAGGCAGCCAGAGCGCCAGUGACACCUUCGACCUCGCCCUCGGCCCCCAGCACCCAAGCCUUGCCUGUGCCGUCCUCUCCUUGGAGACUCAGCCCUGUUGAGGAGGGGAGUGAGCAAUAGAGGAGGGAAGGAAAAGAGGAGCUGUGAUUAGCCCUGUUUUAUAAUGGGCUACAUAGCCCUGUUUUAUAUGGGCUUUUUAAUGGAAGUAUGGGGAGCAGGGGGCAGAGAACAAGAGACAGUCACGCAGCAGAAGGGGGGGCCAGAGUGCACCAGCAAUUAAUUCAGCUCUAGGUCGAGCUUAAUUAUUCCCACCUAUGAUAUCCCAGCUCUGCCCCCAGCCACCUCCCUUAAGCAGCCUACCUCUGCUCUCGGGGCUUCAUUUUACUCACCUGUCAGUGAUGGAGGGUGAUAAUAGUAACUACCUCAUAGGUUUGUGCGGGGUUUAAAUAAGCUAAUACAUAUAAAGUUCAUAGAGUAAAUAGUGCCCAGCACAUGGCAAGGGCUUGAUAAAUGUUAAUCAAGAGAUGGGUGAGGCCGGGCGCAGUGGCUCACGCCUAUAAUACCAGCAAUUUGGGAGGCCAAGGCGAGCAGAUCACCUGAGGUCAGGAGUUCGAGACCAGCCUGGCAACAUGGUGAAACCCCAUCUCUACUAAAAAUACAAAAAUUAGCUGGGCAUAUUGGCACGUACCUGUAAUCCCAGCUACUCGGGAGGCUGAGGCAGGAGAAUCGCUUGAACCCAGGAGACGAAGGUUGCAGUGAGCUGAGAUCGUGCCACUGCACUCCAGCCUGGGCAACAGAGCAAGACACUGUCUCAAAAAAAAAAAAAGAGAGAGAGAGAUGGGUAACUUGCCCAGGGUCACGUAAUAGUGAGUGGCAGGCCUAGCAGGCAUUCAUUUUUCGUAUAAAUAUUUAGACGCAUUGGGGGUAUAGCCAUAAACAAAACAAAAGUCCCUGCUCUGUGGAGAUGACAGUCUCUUGGGGAAAACAGACAAUAACAAAAUAGGUGCUUAACAGAUUGCUGAUAUAAAUGCUAUGAAGAAAAAUAAAGCAGAGCUGGGAGAAAGAAGAUGAUCGUAGGGAGCGACGUACUUUAUUAAUAUAUGGGUGGUCAGGGAAGAGCCCAGCAGCCCGGCUCCUUGCCCUUGUCCUCAUCCGCCAGCCCCUGGCGUUUCUCAGCUUGGCAGACCUCUCUGGGUUGCAGCACCUUGGUUUGUCCACUGGGAGAGGACUGGGAGAGACUCAGACUGAGACUGCG